rnacentral:rRNA from 1 species
AGCUCCAAUAAGGAAAACUAAAGUUGCUGUGUUUAAAAAGCUCGUAGUUGAAUUUCGGGUAUUUGUUGCUAGCUGGUCUGAAUGGCCAUGUUGGUUAACAGAUCCUCACUUGCUGGAUGACUGGCGAUGAUCUUCAUCGGUUGUCGUCAGUUGCCAGAACGUUUACUUUGAGAAAAUUAGAGUGCUAAAAGCAGGCUCACGCCUAUAUAUAUUGCAUGGAAUAAUGAAAUAAGAUCUCGAUUUUAUUUCGUUGGUUUUAGAAAUUGAGAUAAUGAUUAAUAGGAUCAGAGGGGGGCGUACGUACUGUGGUGUGAGAGGUGAAAUUCUUGGAUCGCCACAGGACGAACAGCAGCGAAGGCGUUCGCCAAGAAUGUUUUCA